rnacentral:piRNA from 1 species
CACGAUAGUGGCUCCAAGGAGUGGGCAGA